AGUGAACGCUGGCGGUAGGCCUAACACAUGCAAGUCGAACGGCAGCACAGUAAGAGCUUGCUCUUACGGGUGGCGAGUGGCGGACGGGUGAGGAAUACAUCGGAAUCUACUUUUUCGUGGGGGAUAACGUAGGGAAACUUACGCUAAUACCGCAUACGACCUACGGGUGAAAGCAGGGGAUCUUCGGACCUUGCGCGAUUGAAUGAGCCGAUGUCGGAUUAGCUAGUUGGCGGGGUAAAGGCCCACCAAGGCGACGAUCCGUAGCUGGUCUGAGAGGAUGAUCAGCCACACUGGAACUGGGACACGGUCCAGACUCCUGCGAGAGGCAGCAGUGGGGAAUAUUGGACAAUGGGCGCAAGCCUGAUCCAGCCAGACCGCGUGGGUGAAGAAGGCCUUCGGGUUGUAAAGCCCUUUUGUUGGGAAAGAAAAGCAGCAGGUUAAUACCCCGCUGUUCUGACGGUACCCAAAGAAUAAGCACCGGCUAACUUCGUG
rnacentral:rRNA from 1 species